rnacentral:lncRNA from 1 species
CAUAUAGUCAAUCAUUUUCAGAUAUUCGACUUUAAAUAACACUUACUGAGUGUCUAAAAUUUGCUCCUUUGGAUUGCAUCAUUUCAUGCUCACAUUCGCCUUACAAAGCAUGUGGAACAACUUUCAUGUUAGAGGAAGAGACAAGGGACUGAUGUUCGCUGUGGAGUCCUAUCCAUAUUCCAGAGUCAUCCUCAGUCCUGUGUGCUGCUUGGGGAAGACACAAUGGAGCGAAGACAAGGGCAACUGCAGAGGCUCAGGGCAUCCUUGGGCUGGCAGACUGAGAGGAUUUUUACCUGGAAUAUGACACAGAAGACUUCUACAAAUCCUUCUUCGACGCCUCUUGUGCUCAUGUUUUUCAAUGGACAGUGACUGUUUGGAUCUCUCAUGCUCCCUCCUGGUGCCUGAUCACGUACCCAUUCAUUUCUUCAUCACUUUCAUCAACCACCCUCCCAAGAGCAUAUUCCUAGUCCCCCUAAGAAAUGCUGUUUAUUUUCAGCUUCCUUUGUUACACUUACUCCCUACCUGGGUUACAUAAACACACUCAAGCCUCCUUCACAGACUUCCCAGCGUGCUGGAUCUCUUGCUUUCUCAUCAGUACAGAUCAG